AAUAGAUACCCUGGUAGUCCACGCCGUAAACGAUGAGUGCUAAGUGUUAGAGGGUUUCCGCCCUUUAGUGCUGCAGCUAACGCAUUAAGCACUCCGCCUGGGGAGUACGGCCGCAAGGCUGAAACUCAAAGGAAUUGACGGGGGCCCGCACAAGCGGUGGAGCAUGUGGUUUAAUUCGAAGCAACGCGAAGAACCUUACCAGGUCUUGACAUCCUCUGACCUCCCUGGAGACAGGGCCUUCCCCUUCGGGGGACAGAGUGACAGGUGGUGCAUGGUUGUCGUCAGCUCGUGUCGUGAGAUGUUGGGUUAAGUCCCGCAACGAGCGCAACCCUUGACCUUAGUUGCCAGCAUUCAGUUGGGCACUCUAAGGUGACUGCCGGUGACAAACCGGAGGAAGGUGGGGAUGACGUCAAAUCAUCAUGCCCCUUAUGACCGUGGGCUACACACGUGCUACAAUGGAUGGUACAAAGGGCUGCGAGACCGCGAGGUUAAGCCAAUCCCAGAAAACCAUUCCCAGUUCGGAUUGCAGGCUGCAACCCG
rnacentral:rRNA from 1 species